GACGAACGCUGGCGGCGUGCUUAACACAUGCAAGUGGAGCGACGAACCGGGGCUUGCCCCGGGGCAGAGCCGCGAACGGGUGAGUAACACGUGGGUAACCUGCCUCAAUGAUUGGGACAACCCCGGGGAAACUCGGGCUAAUACCAAAUGUGUUCACUCCUUCUAAGGGGAGUGAGGAAAGGAAGCUUCGGCCUCCGCAUUGAGAUGGGCCCGCGGCCCAUUAGCUUGUUGGUGAGGUAACGGCUCACCAAGGCUUCGAUGGGUAGCUGGUCUGAGAGGACGAUCAGCCACACUGGGACUGAGACACGGCCCAGACUCCUACGGGAGGCAGCAGUGGGGAAUCUUGCACAAUGCGCGAAAGCGUGAUGCAGCAACGCCGCGUGGGGGAAGACGGCC
rnacentral:rRNA from 1 species